rnacentral:rRNA from 1 species
GACGAACGCUGGCGGCGUGCUUAACACAUGCAAGUCGAACGGAAAGGCCCUGCUUUUGUGGGGUGCUCGAGUGGCGAACGGGUGAGUAACACGUGAGUAACCUGCCCUUGACUUUGGGAUAACUUCAUGAAACUUGGGCUAAUACCGGAUAGGAGCUCCUGCUUCAUGGUGGGGGUUGGAAAGUUUCGGCGGUUGGGGAUGGACUCGCGGCUUAUCAGCUUGUUGGUGGGGUAGUGGCUUACCAAGGCUUUGACGGGUAGCCGGCCUGAGAGGGUGACCGGACAAAGUGGGAAGGAAAUACGGCACAGACUACUACGGGAGGCAGCAGUGGGGAAUAUUGCACAAUGGGCGGAAGCCUGAUGCAGCAAAGCAGCGUGCGGGAUGACGGCCUUCGGGUUGUAAACCGCUUUCGCCUGUGACGAAGCGUGAGUGACGGUAAUGGGUAAAGAAGCACCGGCUAACUACGUG